GAUGAACGCUGGCGGCGUGCCUAAUACAUGCAAGUCGAGCGAACAGACGCGGUGCUUGCUCCUCUGACGUUAGCGGCGGACGUGUGAGUAACACAUGGAUCAUCUCCCUAUAAGACUGGGAUAACUUCGGGAAACCGGAGCUACUACCUGAUAAUAUAUUGCACCGCUUUGUUCAAUAGUGAAAGACGGUUUUGCUGUCAUAUAUAGUUUGGUCCGCGCCUCAUUAGCUAGUUGGUCAGGUAACAGCUUACCAAGGCGAGGAGGCGUAGCCGACCUGAGAGAGUGAUCGGCCACACAGGAACAGAGAGAUAGGCCAGACUCCUACGCGGGACAGAGGAAUGAGGUCUACCGGAAAGUGCGAGAGACUGACAUAGCGACACCGCGUGUGUAAUAAGAGUCUUCGAAGCGUAAAACUCUGUUAUUAUAAAAGAACAAUUGUGUAAGUAACUAGGCACGUCACGACGGUACCUAAACAGAAAGCCACGGCUAACGAC
rnacentral:rRNA from 1 species